GACACUUGACAUCAGGAAGGUGCUCUCUCAGCACAACGGAAAAUAUCUCAAUAACUUGACAUGUUCUGGUUGUGAAUUCAGGCUACAAGGGGUCAGUGCUGUGAAAUGAGUUUCUCUGGGGAGAAAGAAGAGGGGUCCUUGCCUCUAAAAUGAAUCUCUCUGGGGAACAUGUCACAAAGGCUAAGAGCCCAAUCAAGCAGGAGAGACCAGCCUCCC